UACGAAGGGGGCUAGCGUUGUUCGGAAUUACUGGGCGUAAAGCGCACGUAGGCGGAAUGUUAAGUCAGGGGUGAAAUCCCGGGGCUCAACCCCGGAACUGCCUUUGAUACUGGCAUUCUCGAGUCCGGAAGAGGUGAGUGGAAUUCCGAGUGUAGAGGUGAAAUUCGUAGAUAUUGGGAAGAACACCAGUGGCGAAGGCGGCUCACUGGCCCGUAACUGACGCUGAGGUGCGAAAGCGUGGGGAGCAAACAGG
rnacentral:rRNA from 1 species